rnacentral:rRNA from 1 species
UACGUAGGGGGCUAGCGUUGUUCGGAAUUACUGGGCGUAAAGCGCACGUAGGCGGACUAUUAAGUCAGGGGUGAAAUCCCGGGGCUCAACCCCGGAACUGCCUUUGAUACUGGUAGUCUCGAGUCCGGAAGAGGUGAGUGGAAUUCCGAGUGUAGAGGUGAAAUUCGUAGAUAUUCGGAGGAACACCAGUGGCGAAGGCGGCUCACUGGUCCGGUACUGACGCUGAGGUGCGAAAGCGUGGGGAGCAAACAGG